AGGGCAUACGGUGGAUGCCUAGGCGCCAGGAGCCGAAGAAGGACGCGGUAAGCUGCGAAAAGCCACGGGGAACUGCAAGCGAGUAUUGAUCCGUGGAUAUCCGAAUGGGGAAACCCGGCCAUCGUAAUGGAUGGUCAUCCGCAAGGAAGGGAACCCGGGGAACUGAAACAUCUAAGUACCCGGAGGAAAAGAAAUCAAACGAGAUGCCCACAGUAGCGGCGAGCGAAGAGGGCAGAGCCCAAACCUGUAAGCUACGGCUUAUGGGGGUUGAGGACUGACAUAAUUAAGGCCAGGCUUAGCUGAACUACCUGGGAAGGUAGGCAAUAGAAGGUAAGAGCCCUGUAAGCGAAAGGCAGAGCCUUAAGGUCAGUAUCCAGAGUACCACGGAGCACGAGGAAUUCUGUGGGAAGCAGGGGGGACCACCCUCCAAGGCUAAAGACUAACUGGCGACCGAUAGCGCAUAGUACCGUGAGGGAAAGGUGAAAAGAACCCCGGGAGGGGAGUGAAAUAGUACCUGAAACCGUAUGUCUACAAGCAGUCGGAGCGAAAGCGACGGCGUGCCUAUUGAAGAAUGAACCAACGAGUUAUCUGCACUAGCGAGGUUAAGUGGAAGACACGGAGCCGUAGCGAAAGCGAGUCUGAAAAGGGCGACGAGUUAGUGUAGGUAGACCCGAAACCGCAGUGAUCUACCCAUGUCCAGGUUGAAGCGCAGGUAAAAAUGCGUGGAGGACCGAACCGGUGAGCGUUGAAAAGCUUUCGGAUGAGAUGUGGGUAGGGGUGAAAUUCCAAUCGAACGCGGAGAUAGCUGGUUCUCCCCGAAAUAGCUUUAGGGCUAGCCUCAGGUAGUAAGUAUAGGCGGUAGAGCACUGAUCGGGCUAGGGGCCAUAAAGGUUACCGAACCCUGUCAAACUCCGAAUGGAUAUACUGCAGAGCCUGGGAGUCAGACUACGAGUGAUAAGAUCCGUGGUCAAAAGGGAAACAGCCCAGACCACCGGCUAAGGUCCCAAAUGCCGUACUAAGUGGAAAAGGAUGUGGGGAUUCAUAAACAACCAGGAUGUUGGCUCAGAAGCAGCCACCAUUUAAAGAGUGCGUAAUAGCUCACUGGUCGAGAGUCCCUGCGCCGAAAAUUUCCGGGGCUAAAGUACGGAACCGAAGCCGUGGCUGUGCAUGUAAGUGCACGGGGUAGGGGAGCGUUGCCACAGGGGUGAAGCUGGUCUGGAAGGACUGGUGGACUUGUGGGAAGUGAGAAUGUUGGUAUGAGUAGCGAAAAGAAAGGUGAGAAUCCUUUCCACCGAAAGCAUAAGGAUUCCUGAGCAACGAUCGUCGUCUCAGGGUAAGUCGGGACCUAAUCCGAGGCAAAGAGCGUAGGAGAUGGACAACAGGUUGAUAUUCCUGUACCGGCAGCAAUUGUUUGAGCGAAGGAGUGACACAGAAGGGCAGGCAGGCGCGAGACUGGAUUGUCGCGUGCAAGCGUGUAGGGUAGUGUACAGGCAAAUCCGUACACUGAAAGCCUGAGGCGUUACGCGGAGCGAGCAGAGAUGCGAGCGAAGCUGCUGAUCCCACACUGUCGAGAAAAGCUUCUAGUGAGAGAGCUGCCGCCCGUACCGUAAACCGACACAGGUAUGCGGGGAGAGAAUCCUAAGGUGCGCGGGAGAACCCUCGUUAAGGAACUCGGCAAAAUGUACCCGUAACUUCGGGAUAAGGGUAGCCGUCUUGGUGAAGGAGCAUGCCUCUGGAGCUGAAGGCGGUCGCAGAGAAGAGGCCCAAGCGACUGUUUACCACAAACACAGGUGCCUGCUAAAGCGAAAGCUGACGUAUAGGUGCUGACACCUGCCCAGUGCUGGAAGGUUAAGGAAGGAUGUCCGGGCAACCAAAGCAUUCGACCGAAGCCCCAGUGAACGGCGGCCGUAACUAUAACGGUCCUAAGGUAGCGAAAUUCCUUGUCGGGUAAGUUCCGACCCGCACGAAAGGUGUAACGAUUUGGGCACUGUCUCAACGAGGGACCCGGUGAAAUUGAAAUACCUGUGAAGAUGCAGGUUACCCGCGACUGGACAGAAAGACCCCAUGGAGCUUUACUGUAACCUGACAUUGGGUUUUGUUGUAUUACGUACAGGAUAGGUGGGAGGCUUGGAAGGCUGGACGCUAGUCUGGCUGGAGCCGGCGUUGGGAUACCACCCUUGAUACAACGGAAUUCUAACCGAGAGAGUAACGAAAUCCGGGACAGUGUCAGGCGGGCAGUUUGACUGGGGCGGUCGC
rnacentral:rRNA from 1 species